rnacentral:piRNA from 1 species
GAUCAGGCAUUGGCUGAAACAAAUGGU